rnacentral:rRNA from 1 species
CACACGACUCUCGGCAACGGAUAUCUCGGCUCUCGCAUCGAUGAAGAACGUAGCGAAAUGCGAUACUUGGUGUGAAUUGCAGAAUCCCGCGAACCAUCGAGUCUUUGAACGCAAGUUGCGCCCGAGGCCACUCGGCUGAGGGCACGCCUGCCUGGGCGUCACGC